CGUAUAUUAAAGUUGUUGCAGUUAAAAAGCUCGUAGUUGGAUUUGUGGCGUAUGGUGUGUUCCGGGCACUUGUUGUCUGAGUAACCUGCUGUUGCCAUCCUUGGGUGGAACCUGUGUGGCAUUAGGUUAUCGUGCAGGGGAUGCCCAUCAUUUACUGUGAAAAAAUUAGAGUGUUCAAAGCAGGCUUAUGCCGUUGAAUAUAUUAGCAUGGAAUAAUGAGAUAGGACUUUUUUACUAUUUUGUUGGUUUGCGUAAGGAGGUAAUGAUUAAUAGGGACAGUUGGGGG
rnacentral:rRNA from 1 species